CACGUAGGGUGCGAGCGUUGUCCGGAAUUAUUGGGCGUAAAGAGCUCGUAGGCGGUGUGUCGCGUCGGCCGUGAAAACCUGCAGCUUAACUGUGGGCUUGCGGUCGAUACGGGCAUCACUGGAGUUCGGCAGGGGAGACUGGAAUUCCUGGUGUAGCGGUGAAAUGCGCAGAUAUCAGGAGGAACACCGGUGGGCGAAAGGCGGGGUCUCUGG
rnacentral:rRNA from 1 species